GGUUAAGCGACUAAGCGUACACGGUGGAUGCCCUGGCAGUCAGAGGCGAUGAAGGACGUGCUAAUCUGCGAUAAGCGUCGGUAAGGUGAUAUGAACCGUUAUAACCGGCGAUUUCCGAAUGGGGAAACCCAGUGUGAUUCGUCACACUAUCAUUAACUGAAUCCAUAGGUUAAUGAGGCGAACCGGGGGAACUGAAACAUCUAAGUACCCCGAGGAAAAGAAAUCAACCGAGAUUCCCCCAGUAGCGGCGAGCGAACGGGGAGGAGCCCAGAGCCUGAAUCAGUGUGUGUGUUAGUGGAAGCGUCUGGAAAGGCGCGCGAUACAGGGUGACAGCCCCGUACACAAAAAUGCACAUACUGUGAGCUCGAUGAGUAGGGCGGGACACGUGGUAUCCUGUCUGAAUAUGGGGGGACCAUCCUCCAAGGCUAAAUACUCCUGACUGACCGAUAGUGAACCAGUACCGUGAGGGAAAGGCGAAAAGAACCCCGGCGAGGGGAGUGAAAAAGAACCUGAAACCGUGUACGUACAAGCAGUGGGAGCCUCUUUUAUGGGGUGACUGCGUACCUUUUGUAUAAUGGGUCAGCGACUUAUAUUCUGUAGCAAGGUUAACCGAAUAGGGGAGCCGAAGGGAAACCGAGUCUUAACCGGGCGUUAAGUUGCAGGGUAUAGACCCGAAACCCGGUGAUCUAGCCAUGGGCAGGUUGAAGGUUGGGUAACACUAACUGGAGGACCGAACCGACUAAUGUUGAAAAAUUAGCGGAUGACUUGUGGCUGGGGGUGAAAGGCCAAUCAAACCGGGAGAUAGCUGGUUCUCCCCGAAAGCUAUUUAGGUAGCGCCUCGUGAAUUCAUCUCCGGGGGUAGAGCACUGUUUCGGCAAGGGGGUCAUCCCGACUUACCAACCCGAUGCAAACUGCGAAUACCGGAGAAUGUUAUCACGGGAGACACACGGCGGGUGCUAACGUCCGUCGUGAAGAGGGAAACAACCCAGACCGCCAGCUAAGGUCCCAAAGUCAUGGUUAAGUGGGAAACGAUGUGGGAAGGCCCAGACAGCCAGGAUGUUGGCUUAGAAGCAGCCAUCAUUUAAAGAAAGCGUAAUAGCUCACUGGUCGAGUCGGCCUGCGCGGAAGAUGUAACGGGGCUAAACCAUGCACCGAAGCUGCGGCAGCGACACUGUGUGUUGUUGGGUAGGGGAGCGUUCUGUAAGCCUGUGAAGGUGUACUGUGAGGUAUGCUGGAGGUAUCAGAAGUGCGAAUGCUGACAUAAGUAACGAUAAAGCGGGUGAAAAGCCCGCUCGCCGGAAGACCAAGGGUUCCUGUCCAACGUUAAUCGGGGCAGGGUGAGUCGACCCCUAAGGCGAGGCCGAAAGGCGUAGUCGAUGGGAAACAGGUUAAUAUUCCUGUACUUGGUGUUACUGCGAAGGGGGGACGGAGAAGGCUAUGUUGGCCGGGCGACGGUUGUCCCGGUUUAAGCGUGUAGGCUGGUUUUCCAGGCAAAUCCGGAAAAUCAAGGCUGAGGCGUGAUGACGAGGCACUACGGUGCUGAAGCAACAAAUGCCCUGCUUCCAGGAAAAGCCUCUAAGCAUCAGGUAACAUCAAAUCGUACCCCAAACCGACACAGGUGGUCAGGUAGAGAAUACCAAGGCGCUUGAGAGAACUCGGGUGAAGGAACUAGGCAAAAUGGUGCCGUAACUUCGGGAGAAGGCACGCUGAUAUGUAGGUGAAGUCCCUCGCGGAUGGAGCUGAAAUCAGUCGAAGAUACCAGCUGGCUGCAACUGUUUAUUAAAAACACAGCACUGUGCAAACACGAAAGUGGACGUAUACGGUGUGACGCCUGCCCGGUGCCGGAAGGUUAAUUGAUGGGGUCAGCGCAAGCGAAGCUCUUGAUCGAAGCCCCGGUAAACGGCGGCCGUAACUAUAACGGUCCUAAGGUAGCGAAAUUCCUUGUCGGGUAAGUUCCGACCUGCACGAAUGGCGUAAUGAUGGCCAGGCUGUCUCCACCCGAGACUCAGUGAAAUUGAACUCGCUGUGAAGAUGCAGUGUACCCGCGGCAAGACGGAAAGACCCCGUGAACCUUUACUAUAGCUUGACACUGAACAUUGAGCCUUGAUGUGUAKGAUAGGUGGGAGGCUUUGAAGUGUGGACGCCAGUCUGCAUGGAGCCGACCUUGAAAUACCACCCUUUAAUGUUUGAUGUUCUAACGUGGACCCGUGAUCCGGGUUGCGGACAGUGUCUGGUGGGUAGUUUGACUGGGGCGGUCUCCUCCUAAAGAGUAACGGAGGAGCACGAAGGUUGGCUAAUCCUGGUCGGACAUCAGGAGGUUAGUGCAAUGGCAUAAGCCAGCUUGACUGCGAGCGUGACGGCGCGAGCAGGUGCGAAAGCAGGUCAUAGUGAUCCGGUGGUUCUGAAUGGAAGGGCCAUCGCUCAACGGAUAAAAGGUACUCCGGGGAUAACAGGCUGAUACCGCCCAAGAGUUCAUAUCGACGGCGGUGUUUGGCACCUCGAUGUCGGCUCAUCACAUCCUGGGGCUGAAGUAGGUCCCAAGGGUAUGGCUGUUCGCCAUUUAAAGUGGUACGCGAGCUGGGUUUAGAACGUCGUGAGACAGUUCGGUCCCUAUCUGCCGUGGGCGCUGGAGAACUGAGGGGGGCUGCUCCUAGUACGAGAGGACCGGAGUGGACGCAUCACUGGUGUUCGGGUUGUCAUGCCAAUGGCACUGCCCGGUAGCUAAAUGCGGAAGAGAUAAGUGCUGAAAGCAUCUAAGCACGAAACUUGCCCCGAGAUGAGUUCUCCCUGACCCUUUAAGGGUCCUGAAGGAACGUUGAAGACGACGACGUUGAUAGGCCGGGUGUGUAAGCGCAGCGAUGCGUUGAGCUAACCGGUACUAAUGAACCGUGAGGCUUAACCUU
rnacentral:rRNA from 1 species